rnacentral:rRNA from 1 species
UGGCUCAGGAUGAACGCUAGCUACAGGCUUAACACAUGCAAGUCGAGGGGCAUCAGGAAGAAAGCUUGCUUUCUUUGCUGGCGACCGGCGCACGGGUGAGUAACACGUAUCCAACCUGCCCUUUACUCGGGGAUAGCCUUUCGAAAGAAAGAUUAAUACCCGAUGGCAUAAUGAUUCCGCAUGGUUUCAUUAUUAAAGGAUUCCGGUAAAGGAUGGGGAUGCGUUCCAUUAGGUUGUUGGUGAGGUAACGGCUCACCAAGCCUUCGAUGGAUAGGGGUUCUGAGAGGAAGGUCCCCCACAUUGGAACUGAGACACGGUCCAAACUCCUACGGGAGGCAGCAGUGAGGAAUAUUGGUCAAUGGGCGCUAGCCUGAACCAGCCAAGUAGCGUGAAGGAUGAAGGCUCUAUGGGUCGUAAACUUCUUUUAUAUAAGAAUAAAGUGCAGUAUGUAUACUGUUUUGUAUGUAUUAUAUGAAUAAGGAUCGGCUAACUCCGUGCCAGCAGCCGCGGUAAUACGGAGGAUCCGAGCGUUAUCCGGAUUUAUUGGGUUUAAAGGGAGCGUAGGUGGACUGGUAAGUCAGUUGUGAAAGUUUGCGGCUCAACCGUAAAAUUGCAGUUGAUACUGUCAGUCUUGAGUACAGUAGAGGUGGGCGGAAUUCGUGGUGUAGCGGUGAAAUGCUUAGAUAUCACGAAGAACUCCGAUUGCGAAGGCAGCUCACUGGACUGCAACUGACACUGAUGCUCGAAAGUGUGGGUAUCAAACAGGAUUAGAUACCCUGGUAGUCCACACAGUAAACGAUGAAUACUCGCUGUUUGCGAUAUACAGUAAGCGGCCAAGCGAAAGCAUUAAGUAUUCCACCUGGGGAGUACGCCGGCAACGGUGAAACUCAAAGGAAUUGACGGGGGCCCGCACAAGCGGAGGAACAUGUGGUUUAAUUCGAUGAUACGCGAGGAACCUUACCCGGGCUUAAAUUGCAGUGGAAUGAUGUGGAAACAUGUCAGUGAGCAAUCACCGCUGUGAAGGUGCUGCAUGGUUGUCGUCAGCUCGUGCCGUGAGGUGUCGGCUUAAGUGCCAUAACGAGCGCAACCCUUAUCUUUAGUUACUAACAGGUUAUGCUGAGGACUCUAGAGAGACUGCCGUCGUAAGAUGUGAGGAAGGUGGGGAUGACGUCAAAUCAGCACGGCCCUUACGUCCGGGGCUACACACGUGUUACAAUGGGGGGUACAGAAGGCAGCUAGCGGGUGACCGUAUGCUAAUCCCAAAAGCCUCUCUCAGUUCGGAUCGAAGUCUGCAACCCGACUUCGUGAAGCUGGAUUCGCUAGUAAUCGCGCAUCAGCCACGGCGCGGUGAAUACGUUCCCGGGCCUUGUACACACCGCCCGUCAAGCCAUGGGAGCCGGGGGUACCUGAAGUACGUAACCGCAAGGAUCGUCCUAGGGUA